CCUACGGGAGGCAGCAGUAGGGAAUAUUGCUCAAUGGGGGAAACCCUGAAGCAGCAACGCCGCGUGGAGGAUGAAGGUUUUCGGAUUGUACACUCCUUUUGUUAGAGAAGAUAAUGACGGUAUCUAACGAAUAAGCACCGGCUAACUCCGUGCCAGCAGCCGCGGUAAUACGGAGGGUGUAAGCGUUACUCGGAAUCACUGGGGGUAAAGAGCGCGUAGGCGGGAUAGCAAGUCAGAUGUGAAAGCCUAUGGCUUAACCAUAGAACUGCAUUUGAUACUGUUAUUCUAGAGUAUGGGAGAGGGAGGUGGAAUUCUUGGUGUAGGGGUAAAAUGCGUAGAGAUCAAGAGGAAUACUCAUGGCGAAGGCGACCUGCUAGAACAUAACUGACGCUGAUGCGCGAAAGCGUGGGGAGCAAACAGGAUUAGAUACCCCGGUAGUC
rnacentral:rRNA from 1 species